AACAGAGGCCUCAGAAAUAAUGCCACACAUUGUGGGGAAGCAGUCAGAGUGGUGGGAAAAACUAUAGGGAAAGGAUACAAACUUUCUGAAAGGUCUGAAGGCUCUGCAGAGCCCCUGGGGAGAACAGCUGAAGGCAGCUAUUCAAUAAUCCUGAGGCAGAGGGCAAAGAGUAGGUACAAGGGAGUGUGGGGGAAUUUAUCUUAAACAGGCUUUUUUACCUAGGUUGACCAGAAACUGACCUUUGAUCAUCUGUAAGCAUGACAUUCCCUGAACAGGGAAACAAUAAAUGUUAAUUAUCUACAGGUUGUGUUGGCUCCAGGUUUUCAGCAUUGUGCCUGUAAUGAAUAAAAGCAAGCAGCUCCAGCUUUUCAGGGCUGCUGUCUGGCCACUAGAGCCAGGGAGUCCCCUGGCUGCUCUUACACUGCAUACCUGUGUCCGAGUACUCAUUUCAUCUGUUGGCCUGGGUCUGUGGGACAGACCCGGCAGGUGGUGACCCAUGUGAAGAACGCUGCCAUGGAUCCCGACGGAAGCCUCGAAAAUGAAAGUGAAGUGACUAUGCAGUCCUCUUUGGAUUCCAGCACAACUGCAUCAAACCUCAUCACGGUGUGGCUAGGACCCAACCUAGUACCAGAAAUGAGGAAAAUGGCCCUGCAGGACCUGCAGCCCUGGACGAUGUGACUUCCUCAGAUGACACAGGCUCCAGACAUUACCUGGGGGAUGCUGAAGAAGACAACUCAGGAGGCUGAGUGAAUCCUUCUCCAGACACAAAUGCCAUUCACUCCAGAAUAUUUGUUUUGUGCUAUGCUGUCUGUUGUACAUUGCAACUUUUGUAGUGUAUUAAUCUUUUUCAUUCUCUCACUUUGCUUGCUACCUGUACCUGCUACACUCUACUGGGACCAUCUUCUAGGUCUGCAUUUUUUCGCCUUGUUACUUGGGCAGACACCCCCUUUCCAGCCUCUAACAAUGUGACCAAUUGGCUGGGAGAGAUUGACAUACCCUUGCUAAUGGCACAUAUUGGACUGAGAUGCCAAGUAAUACUACGUAUCACUCAUUGAUUGGAAAAGAAUAGUACUGAUUAUACCCAUGUUUAUGUUAUUUACUGGUUCUAGGAUGCAAAAUCAGAACAUGAGUUGGAACGGCUGCGCCAACCAAACCGGUCACUGUGGAUAUCUGCACACUUCAAUCAACAAAACCUGAUGGAAAAAUAAAUAAAUAAA